ACGAACGCUGGCGGCGUGCCUAAUACAUGCAAGUCGAACGGUCUUUCUAUGGAAGCUUGCUUCCACUGAGAAGAUAGUGGCGAACGGGUGAGUAACACGUGGGUAACCUGCCCAUAAGAGGGGGAUAACAUCCGGAAACGGGUGCUAAUACCGCAUAGUUUUCUUGAUCGCAUGAUUGAGAAAGGAAAGACGGCCUUUGUGCUGUCGCUUAUGGAUGGACCCGCGGCGUAUUAGUUAGUUGGCGAGGUAACGGCUCACCAAGACGAUGAUACGUAGCCGACCUGAGAGGGUGAUCGGCCACAUUGGGACUGAGACACGGCCCAAACUCCUACGGGAGGCAGCAGUAGGGAAUCUUCCGCAAUGGACGAAAGUCUGACGGAGCAACGCCGCGUGAGUGAAGAAGGGUUUUUCCGGAUCGUAAAACUCUGUUGUCAGAGAAGAACAAGUUGGAGAGUAACUGCUCCAGCCUUGACGGUAUCUGACCAGAAAGCCACGGCUAACUACGUGCCAGCAGCUGC
rnacentral:rRNA from 1 species